CACUACAACGUAGAAGUUACGGUAGAACUCCCAGAAGCGGUAUUCCAGAUCACAGCUUUUACAGGCCUAGUCAGAGAUCCACCAGUAAAGUCUUAAGAAAGAAAAGCAGAAGUUCGUCGUGUUUUAACAGUGGUUUUUCAUCAGUAUUGCUGAUUCAGAAGUUGAAUUCAUGAAGUUGAGCAUGGAGGAUACUUUUAAAAAUGAAAAAUCUAAACCAUUAUUAUUAACAACUCGAUUAGUGUUGAAGUGCCCAAAUCCAAAGCCUUUUCUCAGGAAUUACUUUCACAGGAGGGAAAAUCAUCAAGGGAACUGAAAAGGGAACAAUUGUGACAUCAGAGCAUGGAGACUGGUCCUAAUCAUGUAAAAGCUAUCUUGGAUUGUGAAAGAACACUGUUAUUACAGUAACAUUGAACCACGAAAAAUAGGUGAUCAGAAAAAAUCAUGUCAAAAUUAAUUAGAUAUAUGUAUUAUUGUUCUCAGUUGCAUCUAACACUAAUUUAGGUGUUGACUUUGCUCUUGUACCAAGAAUCUUGGUGCCAUCAACGAAGGAACGAAGAGGGAAUAUCAAUCACAUCCAUUACAUCAACGAAAGAAAAUUAUGGCAUACAGGACAUCACCUGGAACUCAUCCGUAGGUUUAUGUAUUUAGAUGGCAUUGACCUUAGUGAACAAAGAAAUUUUAAAAGGUAUUUUCAAUACGACUAAUGUAGACAUGCCAACAUCAGAAAGUUGGUCAGUCUCUUGAGAUAUUUGUAAAUGAAAUAUAUCAAUGGUAUAGUACUUUACUGACAUGCAUUAACUUGAUUAAUGUCAUUAAUAUUGUCCAUAUUUAACCUAUAACCCCCCAAGUUUUCUCAAGGGUGUUAAUGUUUAUUUACUAGUAUUUUUUUUAUUUCCUAUAUGUUUUUAAUUUACUAGUUGUGCACUUGUUAUUUCUUUGAUUGCUCCUUAUGUGUUACAAACAUGUUUCUCCCAAUGUCAUCAAUAUUGUAGACUAUCUAUUUAUCAUAUUGUACGUCUGUUGACAGUCCCCAUGAUCCAAUGUGUUUUUAUUAUAAACAUUGUAACUAUAACAUUGUUAAAUUUAUUUUUAUUAAACAACAAUAUAUCGCUAAACACUUCAAGUUCUAUUUGUUUUCUCUGUGAUGUCUCUUUGAAAGUUAGUCAAGUUGAUUAUUUGAUCAUUCUACCGGAAUGUAAAUUUCACCAAGCAAUAGGUCAGGAGCUUAAGAGGGCUUAACGCAUGUAAAUGUUGUGAGUCUGUCUUUGAUUUUGAUGUCAGUUGACAGAAACUAUUGAAAUUAAAAUGGGAGGCCUCUUGUAAUUUAAAUCCAUUAUUCUACAUUUUCUUAUAAUCUAAAUUUACUAUUUUAUUUUACAAUGAAUUGGAAAUAUAAGGAAAUACUAAACCCAUUAUGCAUAAAUCCCACGUUUCCAAGUUUCGUUGAUGCCCUGGCAUACUCUACUAACUAGGCAGUGAUUCCUUAAAUUAAUUUUUGAUUAUGUUGUAGCAUAUUAUAGUUUUGAUAUUUAUGUCCUGAAUAUUUUGUCAUAUUACAUAUUUAUAUGUAUAUAUAUGUUUAUAUUUAGAGCUGCAAGGCGAGAAAUUCCCUUGCUCUGAGACAUUAUUUUUCUCAAUUUUUAAAGUUUAUGGAAAAGUUGUAUGUUCUAAAAUUAUCUUUUCAGUAAUGAUAUCUUAAACACAUAUGAUUCAUUCAUUCUGUUAAAUUAAAUAUUGGAUGAUGAUGCAUUUUUAAAGUUAUCAAUAAAGCAAACUUUAGAGGAAAAA